UGGAAUACUUCCUCCCUUUUCUUUUCUCUCCGUACCUAGCUCUCUGCUGCUGCCAUGGAAUUUUCUCACUUAAUUCGAUCAGCUUCAUCCUUUCCCUUUUCUCUCCCUUUCCCACCAUUUUUUUUUAUUGUGGAGAGUAUUAAAAUAAAAAGGGAAGAAGAAAAGGAAAAGAAGCAAGUCAAAAGGAAUAAAUAAUAACAAAUAAAAAAUUGGGGGAGAGGAAUGUCAAUGUCCAUAGUAAAAAGCACAAAAAUAAGAAAAAACUACUACCUACCUAGUUAAGUUUGCAAUAAUUUUUUUCAUCAAAAUGGUUCCUAUGGUUUAGGAUAGUACAAAGUCAUGACCAAACACAAAAAAAGUCAAAGCUCGGGAGACGGCAAAGAUGUAUGAACUAAGUUAUCUUAAUCAAGAAAAAAGUAUACAAACUACUAAUAGAUAAUUACAAACGCAAGCUGGUGUAUGUGAACCUGAUAUGAACGACCUAUUAAUAAGUAAACAACGCUCAUAUCCACCGACCUAUACUGGAUACUCAAUAGGCAAAGAAAAGGAUAGUCAACCGUCAGCUUAUAUUUUAUGUUAUAUUUAUCUAA
rnacentral:lncRNA from 1 species